AUACCGAAAUGCAUGGUGGGAAAUCAGUGUGGAAUUCAUUGGCUGUCCCUGCACCGUAAAGUCGGAGCGCCACCCGGUAU
ncrna:unclassified sequences AdoCbl variant RNA